rnacentral:rRNA from 1 species
UACGAAGGGGGCUAGCGUUGCUCGGAAUCACUGGGCGUAAAGCGCACGUAGGCGGCUUUUUAAGUCAGAGGUGAAAUCCUGGAGCUCAACUCCAGAACUGCCUUUGAUACUGAGAAGCUUGAGUCCGGGAGAGGUGAGUGGAACUGCGAGUGUAGAGGUGAAAUUCGUAGAUAUUCGCAAGAACACCAGUGGCGAAGGCGGCUCACUGGCCCGGUACUGACGCUGAGGUGCGAAAGCGUGGGGAGCGAACAGG